CCAGAAUGCUUAGACACCUAAAAGCCUUUGCCUUAGCACAAAGUAGACAAACAAUCCCCAUGACUGGUGCCUUAAUCACGUUAAUAUCAAUUAACGAGAAGACUGUGAAAUAUUGAGGAAUUUACAUAACCAUCUCCCACAUUUGUCAAUAGGGACCCUGCACAUCUACCACUGUAGAUUUGGGUGCCAGGCGAGUCAAGGCAUUUAUAGAUAAAUAAUGAAGGGGCUAUGAGCUGCAGUGCUGAUGGUGUGUAGAGUGUCCCUUUAAGAGAUAAGCUAAUGACUGGCCUCUACUUGAAGCAAUCCAUGUAUGUAAACAAAGCUCUUAUGCAACCUGGACAACCCUUAUCGUCAGUACUUAAGCUUGAACAAUUGUUUAAAAUCUUCUCCCUUUCUAGAGACGCAAAUGUCUGUACUGAAUGCUAACUUAAUGAGAGAACUUUGGCAAUUGGCCUGGCUGGCUCUUUUACAAAAGUUACAAUGAAAACAGGACAUUGAGUUUAUUAUUUCCAAACAGUCUUGAGGAUUAUCUUUCAAAC